GAUGAAGAACGUAGCGAAAUGCGAUAGGUAAUGUGAAUUACAGAAUUCAGUGAAUCAUCGAAUCUUUGAACGCACAUUGCGCCCUUUGGUAUUCCUUAGGGGAUGCCUGUUCGAGCGUCACUACACACCUUAUCACAAUAUUUGUGGUCUUGGCAGGAGUGAAUUGCUGGUCUAUGGAAGUAUUCCAGCAGUACACAAUGCUAAAAAAUAUGGGAAGGUUACCAGAUAUGAACAACAGACUUUGUAAAUGGUUGUAGGACCUAGAUCAGUCACAAGUCAUGUCUGGUCCCUUACCUUAAGGACCCCCAUCCUAGAUGAACUAUGGGUUGACCUCGGAUCAGGUAGGAAUACCCGCUGAACUUAAGCAUAUCAAUAAGCGGAGGA
rnacentral:misc_RNA from 1 species